CAACAAAGAGGUGGCUGCGACUGUUUAUUAAAAACAUAGCACUCUGCAAACUCGUAAGAGGACGUAUAGGGUGUGACGCCUGCCCGGUGCCGGAAGGUUAAUUGAUGGGGUUAGUCCUCGGACGAAGCUCUUGAUCGAAGCCCCGGUGAACGGCGGCCGUAACUAUAACGGUCCUAAGGUAGCGAAAUUCCUUGUCGGGUAAGUUCCGACCUGCACGAAUGGCGUAACGAUGGCCACACUGUCUCCACCCGGGACUCAGUGAAAUCGAAAUUGCUGUGAAGAUGCAGUGUACCCGCACCAAGACGGAAAGACCCCGUGCACCUUUACUAUAGCUUCACACUGGACUUUGAACCUAUUUGUGUAGGAUAGGUGGGAGGCUUUGAAGCCAGGACGCCAGUUCUGGUGGAGCCAACCUUGAAAUACCACCCUGGUAUGUUUGGGGCCCUAACCGAGACCCGUUAUCCGGGUCCGGGACAGUGUGUGGUGGGUAGUUUGACUGGGGCGGUCUCCUCCCAAAGAGUAACGGAGGAGCGCGAAGGUACUCUAAGCGCGGUCGGAAAUCGCGCGGUUAGUGCAAAGGCAUAAGAGUGCUUGACUGCGAGACUGACACGUCGAGCAGGUGGGAAACCAGGUCUUAGUGAUCCGGUGGUUCUGUAUGGAAGGGCCAUCGCUCAACGGAUAAAAGGUACGCCGGGGAUAACAGGCUGAUACCCCCCAAGAGUUCACAUCGACGGGGGUGUUUGGCACCUCGAUGUCGGCUCAUCACAUCCUGGGGCUGUAGCCGGUCCCAAGGGUAUGGCUGUUCGCCAUUUAAAGUGGUACGCGAGCUGGGUUUAGAACGUCGUGAGACAGUUUGGUCCCUAUCUGGUGUGGGCGUUAGAAACUUGAGAGGAGCUGCUCCUAGUACGAGAGGACCGGAGUGGACGUACCUC
rnacentral:rRNA from 1 species